UACGUUUAAAUCAAGUUAAAUUUGUGGAUACGAGGGAGGAAGCUGAAGGUCAUGUUUCUCAGGUUGGUUUUGAAGCCAUUUCACAGGGCAGCGACAGCAGUAACAACAUUUUUGAUCCAGUAGGUCGCCAGCGGAAACAAUAUCGUUGAGAUUGAGAUGCUCCCUGUUGUUGUAAGAAAACUACGAUGUCAUUAAUUAUAUUCGUUGCAAUUGUUUAUAUUGAUAAGCUCUUUCAUUUUGGUUAUAUUCUUUAUUUCGUUGCAUUUGAAUAGGAAAUAUUUUCUCUCUGGCAUAAACUGAAAGUAUUUUGCAAUUAAGCAUCCUUAUUAUAUGAUCAUGUCUAGCAUAGAUUACAUUCGAAUUUCGACCUGAUCUGUAUUUUUUGGUUUCUUCACACUGUUUUCACAUAUCGUUCCGUCAUGUUGGUUCUGUUUCACUCAACUGUUUGAAUAAGGGGAACUAAGUAAUGAAAAGACAUAAUUUGUGAUAUUAUUAGAAGAAACAUGUAGCAUUUGGUAGUAAUAAAUCACCUCUAUUUGUGAUUGGCUCGUAUAUAGUUUUGUAUCGUGAUGGCGACAGGAGUUAAUAGGGCACUGAAAAGGAAUAAAGAGUGUAGAAUCUAUGUUUUCAAUUUUGGUAUGCAUAUAUAUAAUUAUAUGUGAUGGCUGGAGAAAAUCAAAAUUUAGAUAGUUGUGCAAUAUUUUUGGAAAUACAGAUAAUCAACAACUUUGACUGUUUGAAUAUUGUCAUACUUUAUUUAACAAUAUAUUUUUCCAUCCUGAAAGGGAGACUCCAUCUGUAGGCCCAGUAGAUUUUGAUAAUCUGUUGACGUUUGUUUUAUACAAAUUUGCUGCCCGCAGCUCACACUCGCUAAUCAAAUGGUAGUACUGUAGAUGCAACAUUUCUGGAGACAGAGAAGGGGCCGGUGCUCUUAUAGAUUUCUGUCACGCUUUUAUAUCUGCAUUUUAUAGCUUGAGAAGCACCGAUACGUAAUAAAACCAUUACUCAGGAUUUCAAGUUUUGCAUGGCUUGCUUGGUUUUGCAUCUAUAUUGUUUCGUGUUCAUCGACAAUUUUCAAGUUUAUUUUUUUCAUUACAAAUAUGUUGUUUCGUGUUCAUCGAUAUUGCUAAGGCGGGAAAAAUACAUGAAGCCAAGGUGAUUAUUAUUGCAAGAUUCUUUUAAUAUGUGUUUUCUCUUCAAGUGUUUCUCUGCAAGUGAUCCAUGUCUUUUCUCAUGAUCCAGUUUGUCCAAAUGAUUUUGCAGCAGUAACAGGUUAUCAUAUUAUGGAGAGAUCUUCGGUGAUUGUCGUCAUCGCGGUACAGCCAUAAGACCGACACCAAUGAUAAGGGCAGUGAUUGCAAUCUGUGGAUCGAAUAGGAAUGAUUCUCCAUUAUUGAAAGAUAAGUAAUUUUCAUUCAGUCUAUUAAGUUUAAUUUAGAAUUGGGUUAUGCAGAGGUUAGGUUGCGAGUUUCAGGUGGUAUGCAAUGAUGAUGGCCUAUUAUUUAAUAUAAAUUGUGUAAUUGAGAAAAAGACAGUAUGUGUGUUGGUCUGUGUGACUUAUGAAUUUUGGACAGUUUUGUAUUUAUAAACACUCUUCCUUCUUGGCAGGACAAUAUGCAGACUACUGGGGUCAAGUUGUUGACCCAAACAAAACCCAUAUCUGCCUUGGAAAUCUUAGCCAGUCUGGAGGAGUUGAAGGAUUGCAUUGACGUCCCCGAUUAAAGAUAAGUUAUGCACACACAUAUGGCUGGACGCGAUCUAACUGAAUCUUUGAUGAAGAUCCUCACUGAGAGAGGGUAUAUGUUCGCCACCUCAGCUAAGUGGGAAUUUGUCCGUGACAUAAAAGAGAAGCUUGCAUAUGUUGCUGUGGAUUACGAACAAGAACUUGAAACUGCCAAGAGCAGUUCUUCUAUUGAGAAAAACUAUGAGCUUCCUAUUUAAAAACAUAGCCUAUAUAGGACUGCGGACCUCUUAUCAUCAUGACUGCAUCAUUCAAUGCCUUUCGUUGUUGAUGCAUCAUAUUCAACAACAAAGGUUGUUGCAUCUACAUGCUUAUCUAUGUCGAUGAUAUUAUCCUCACUGGUUCCUCACCUAUUAUGAUUCAACAACUCAUUACCAAACUAGACAGUGUUUUCUCUCUCAAACAACUGGGUGAUCUAGACUAUUUUCUUGGAAUUGAGGUUAAGCGCACUUUCAAUGGUAAUUUACUGCUGUCUCAAGGAAAAUAUGUGAGAGAUCUCCUGCAGAGAGCAGAGAUGGAUGGUUGCAAAAGUAUUACUACACCUCUCCCAGCUGCAGUUAAACUCUCUAAAGCUGGUACUGAUUUCUUUGAAGAUCCAGCACUUUACAGGAGCAUUGUAGGUGCUCUACAAUAUGUUACCAUUACCAGACCAGAGCUCGGUUACUCUGUGAAUAAGGUGUGUCAAUUUAUGUCUCAACCUCUGGUUUCUCAUUGGUCUGCCGUAAAGAGAAUCUUAAGGUAUCUUAAAGGUACAAGUGAUUAUGGAUUGGUGUUCAAACCAGCUAGUUCUGCUGCUCCUAUUCAUCUCAGGGCCUACUGUGAUGCUGAUUGGGCAUCAGAUAUGGAUGACAGACGCUCAACUUCUGGUGCUUGUGUAUUUUUGGGACCUAACCUCAUCUCUUGGUGGUCUAAAAAGCAAACUCUUGUUGCCAAGUCUUCUGCUGAAGCAGAAUAUCGCAGCCUUGCUCUUGCUGCCUCUGAAAUUCUUUGGGUUCAAUCGUUGCUUCACGAAUUGUGUUUGCCUAUUCCUACUCCUGUCAUCUAUUGUGAUAAUCAAAGUACAGUUGCUCUUAGCCACAAUCCGGUGUUGCAUUCAAGGACAAAGCAUAUGGAGUUAGACAUAUUCUUUGUCAGGGAAAAAGUACUCAACAAAUCGCUAUUAGUUGAACAUGUUCCUGCACAGUUUCAAAUUGCAGAUAUUCUCACAAAAUCUUUGGCUCGUCCUCAAUUUUGUUUCCUUCGAGACAAACUCAGAGUGUCAAACACCACUGAGUUUGUGGGGGGAGUAAUAGAGAAUAUGAUGAGUCCUGUUUUUCACUACACUUCCACUAGUGGAUGUUAGGCUUUAAUUUCAUAGAAUAAGAAAAGUCAUGUUUUGCAUUAAACUUCCACUAGUGGAGGUUGGGCUUUAAACUAAUAGAAUAAGGAUGGUCAUCCUUAAAUGUAGAAUUUGAAUGAUCAAACUUUUCUUGUAUAAAUAGAGCACCAUGCUCCAUUUCAAAAUCAAUCAAAAACAGAUUCACAUUAUAUAAAUUUCUGAAUCUGUUACCCGCUGAUGUUUUCAGGAGAGCCAAAAUUCAGUCUUUAUGGGUUUGGCAUCAAUCUAAUUUACGAUAUGGAACAGAUCAACUGUAUCAGAUGCUGCAGGUUUGGUGUCGGAUGGAACCUGUUCUGCUUUUGAUGGGCGUGGAGGUUGUGCUGCUGGCUUCACUACUGCAGGUAUGUUACUAUCAGGUAUAAUGUCUGAUGAUGUCUCUGUUUUUUUUUUGACAGAUCAAGGAUUCAUGGUGCGAGUUUGGUGCCAGCCCUCAAGGAUUCAUUGUACCAUUGAGCCUCAAACUCUUCACAAAGUAAUGGAAUAGAUUGUUGUAUAAUGGAAUUUAGAUAAGACAUAUUUUAUCUUAAGUUCCAGCUGCUACAACUCUCUUUCAUCUUUCUUUUUUAAAUUGUUGUUAGAAAAGCUUAGAGGUCUCUGCUUAAUUAAUAUAAAAGACUAGAGCAUUAUAUUCUUGUAGUUCACUCAGUAUGAAAUUGGUGUGGGAGAUUGAAGAUUGUUUCAUUUAAAUUUUUAUUGAACUUCUUAUUAUUUAUGGUCAUGAUGUAUUAUUGUUCUUGAAUGAGCUUAGUUUUAACAUUUGGCUUCUGAUUAAUGUUAUGUGGUUAAAAAGUUUGAAUGAUCAUGAGUUACAUUUUUGGGGUGAGUUAAGGAUGUUGAUUAUGCUAAUUAUUAUUAUGUUAAUGCAGAUUUUCUGUGACCAGUGAUAGUCGAGCUUUUCUAUUUAUCGAUCUAUUAUGUGUAAAGGAAGUUGUGCAGAAAAAUAUAAAUAAUAUAAACUUAGGCAAAUAGAGAGACUUUAAUCUAUCUCAAAUACUUGCAGGACCAUCAUAUAAAUUUUUGCCACAGAAAAUGCACUGAGUUUUGUAUUGGAUUUGUUUAUGUAUAUGACCUCUUUUUUGUUUCGUAGGCAAUCUUCACAAAUCCACUGAUUUCAUAUUUCUUA